rnacentral:misc_RNA from 1 species
AAGUCGUAACAAGGUUUCCGUAGGUGAACCUGCGGAAGGAUCAUUACAGUAUCACUGUAAUAGUCGUUGGGCCCUGAAAAGGUGCCUAAUACUUUCCAAACCUUGCCAAUAAUUUACCGUUACCUGAAGCGGGCUUGCCCCUGCUGGGUUGGAUAUACACUAAACUCUUAUAAAUACGCUGUAACUACUGCAGAAUUGUCUGAAAAUAUAUCAAUAUUAAAA